GUGCUCGCUUCGGCAGCACGUACACUAAAAUUGGAACAAUACAGAGAAGAUUAGCAGGCCCCUGUGCAAGGAUGACAUGCAAAAUUAAAGAGAGACUAAU
rnacentral:snRNA from 1 species